CCCCGCCCCGCAGAGGGUCACAGUGGUGACCUGGGCCUCCCGGCUGGGGGACAGUACUCGGACAAGCCUGGGACAGUCUGGCUGCCUGCAGUUCUGCACUUUGGAGAUGGGCCUUGGGCAGGCAGGGGCUCCCCAGGGGCAGGGAGCCUGUGAUUUCAGCCCCAGAGGGGACCGUGCCUCACAGGUGCCGCCCUGGGUGUGUGCCUUGCCUGCCCGGGGGCCUUGACCGGACAACCCAGGUGGCACCGAGGAUCUUCCCACAGCAGAGGACAAUUAGGAGGGGAGAACAGCAUCGAAUCUUCUGAUUCAUCUGCCCACAGGGCUUAGCAGACUGGCCGACUGGAGGAGUCCCUCGCUGCAUUUUGUCAGACUAUGGGUGUGUACGUAUGUACGUACGUAAGUAUAAAUGAAAGAAUGAAAAAAGAAAGAAAGGAAAGAAAGAAGGAAGAAAGAAAGAGAGAAAAGGAAGAAAGAAAGGCAGAAAGAAAGAAAGGAGGAAAGAAAGGAAGGAAGAAAGAAAGAAGAGAAAGGAAGGAAGAAAGGAAGAAAAGAGAGAAUCAAAUAGAAUCAGAGGUAAGGUGUUUGCUUUCAAUACCUACCACCAAAAUACCAACCCCUCUGCCCCUGCCAACAAAAACAUUCAUCUCUUCACCUCUUUUCCCCAUUGGUCACUUGUGGGGAGCAGGGGGUAAGGCUGUGCCCUACCUCCUGAGUGUUUAAUAAGCCAUCAGGCAUCAAUACUCACUGGGGAUUGUCAGAGUCUCGGGGCAGCCGGUGGGAGCUGAGUCUGAUGAGGCUGUGGGAGGAGAAGAGGAGGAAACUGGGGAGACUUGAUGGGGAGGCCAUGAGCUGUCAAGGGGCCCUGGACACUGGCCUUCCAAGUGACAGAAGGGAAAGCAGGAGGACACGGGAGGACUCAGAGGAGGAGAUGGGUCAUUGAAGUCCAGUGCGGCCAAGCCUCCAACUCUGGACCUGCUUCCCUGCCUCUUUCCACACUUGUUCUCACGCAGCAGACUUGGGCCGGGGCCCGCGGGGCCUGCGGGGUGAGAGGGCAAAGUUUUGGGCAGGGCCCUGAUCCUGCUGGGACCAGCCGAGCUGUCAGCAGGGCGAGUCCCAUAGCCCCAUGUUGGGAGGAUAAGGUGGCUCGUCUUCCCAAGGCGAGGCUGAGCGUGUCUUACUCUGUGCUGUGGUUGCCUGACCUCCUGCUGGAAUUCCUGACCCUGGUUUGGAGCUGCCCUGUCUGCAGCGCAUCGUGACAGGAUCCCUCACCCUGUACACUGGCUUGAAAUGUGGUGAAAUAAAUGUCAUAAUUUUAAGACUCUAAGUGUCAACAGUCCCCAACAGACGAGGGUUCGAUUUAUGAUUUUUGGACUUUAUGAUGGUACCUAGUGAUACAUAUUUAGUAGAAACCGUACUUCAAAUUUUGAUCUUUUCCCUGCCUAACAAUACCCUGUAUCUUUUCUUGCGAUACUGGGCUAUGACAGCCACACCAUCUCGGGGGUAAACAGCUAACACACAUACAACCAUUCUGCACCCAGAUGACCAGAAUGUUUUUCACUUUCAGUACGAUAGUCAAUCAAUGACAUGAGAUAGCCAACACUUUAUUCUAUGAUAGGCUUCGUGUUAGAUGCUUUUGUCCAGGCUAAUGGAAGUGUUCUGUUUAAGAUAGGCUAGGCUAACUCAUGAUGUUUGGUAGGCUAGGUGGAUUAAAUACAUUUUCAAUUUAUGGUAUUUUCAACUGACAAUGGGUUGACUGGGAUGUAACCCCAUCGUAAG